CGCAACGUAGCUCAACUGGUAGAGCAAAGGAUGAUGUGGGUUCGAGUCCCACCGUUGCAA
rnacentral:tRNA from 1 species